rnacentral:rRNA from 1 species
GACGAACGCUGGCGGCGUGCUUAACACAUGCAAGUCGAACGGUAAGGCCCUUCGGGGUACACGAGUGGCGAACGGGUGAGUAACACGUGGGUGAUCUGCCCUGCACUUCGGGAUAAGCCUGGGAAACUGGGUCUAAUACCGGAUAGGACUCCGGACUGCAUGGUCUGGGGUGGAAAGCUUUUGCGGUGUAGGAUGGGCCCGCGGCCUAUCAGCUUGUUGGUGGGGUGAUGGCCUACCAAGGCGACGACGGGUAGCCGGCCUGAGAGGGUGACCGGCCACACUGGGACUGAGAUACGGCCCGGACUCCUACGGGAGGCAGCAGUGGGGAAUAUUGCACAAUGGGCGCAAGCCUGAUGCAGCGACGCCGCGUGAGGGAGGACGGCCUUCGGGUUGUAAACCUCUUUCAGCACAGACGAAGCGCAAGUGACGGUAUGUGCAGAAGAAGGACCGGCCAACUACGUGCCAGCCGCCGCCGUAA